rnacentral:rRNA from 1 species
GAUGGACCCGCGUCUGAUUAGCUAGUUGGUAAGGUAACGGCUUACCAAGGCGACGAUCAGUAGCCGGCCUGAGAGGGUGAACGGCCACAUUGGGACUGAGACACGGCCCAAACUCCUACGGGAGGCAGCAGUGGGGAAUAUUGCACAAUGGGGGAAAGCCUGAUGCAGCAACGCCGCGUGAAGGAUGAAGGGUUUCGGCUCGUAAACUUCUAUCAAUAGGGACGAAAAAAAAUGACGGUACCUAAAUAAGAAGCCCCGGCUAACUACGUGCCAGCAGCCGCGGUAAUACGUAGGGGGCAAGCGUUAUCCGGAAUUACUGGGUGUAAAGGGAGAGUAGGCGGCAUGGUAAGCCAGAUGUGAAAGCCUUGGGCUUAACCCGAGGAUUGCAUUUGGAACUAUCAAGCUAGAGUACAGGAGAGGUAAGUGGAAUUCCUAGUGUAGCGGUGAAAUGCGUAGAUAUUAGGAAGAACACCAGUGGCGAAGGCGACUUACUGGACUGAAACUGACGCUGAGGCUCGAAAGCGUGGGGAGCGAACAGGAUUAGAUACCCUGGUAGUCCACGCCGUAAACGAUGAGUGCUAGGUGUCGGGGGGGAACCCUCGGUGCCGCAGCUAACGCAAUAAGCACUCCACCUGGGGAGUACGAUCGCAAGAUUGAA